CGAGGAACAUGACCUUCGGCGGGGGAUAGCCGGCCCAACGGCCGGGUAAUACCGCGUACGACCACAUGGGGACAUCCCUGAGUGGUGAAAGCAGCAAUGCGCCGAUGGAGUGCCUCGCGGCCUAUCAGCUAGUUGGUGAGGUAACGGCUCACCAAGGCGACGACGGGUAGCUGGUCUGAGAGGAUGGCCAGCCACAUUGGGACUGAGACACGGCCCAGACCUCGUACGGGGA
rnacentral:rRNA from 1 species